GUAGUAGUGGCCGAGUGGUUAAGGCCACAAACUAGAAAUCUGUUCGGAUUUUCCCGCGCAGGUUCAAAUCCUGCCGACUACG
rnacentral:tRNA from 1 species